rnacentral:rRNA from 2 species
UUUAAUUGAAGAGUUUGAUCAUGGCUCAGAUUGAACGCUGGCGGCAGGCCUAACACAUGCAAGUCGAGCGGCAGCGACUUAACUGAACCUUCGGGGAACGUUAAGGGCGGCGA